CACCCAUCAACGCCCGGGUACUACGAGCCCCAGCUUAAAACCCAAAGAACUUGACGGUGUCCCAUCCACCUAGAGGAGCCUGUUCUAUAAUCGAUAGUCCCCGCUAAACCCAACCUUCUCUUGCAAUCAGCCUGUAUACCUCCGUCGUAAGCUUACCAUAUGAGUGACCUUAGUAAGCUAAAUGGUCACAAAACCCCAAUACGUCAGGUCAAGGUGCAGCUCAUGAAAAGGCAAGAAAUGGGCUACAAUUUCUAAUCUAAAACAAACGAAACACUGCAUGAAACUCAGCUGUGAAGGCGGAUUUAGUAGUAAAAAGAAAAUAGCG
rnacentral:rRNA from 1 species